CCCACCGGCUCCGGAGGCUGCACUGACGCCCCAGGGACAGCAGGUGGCGCCCCGACCUCGGUGGCCGAGACGGGAACCCCAGAGGAGCAGACUUUCCUAGAGAGAGGAGGUGUCCGGUGCGCGAGAAGUACGAUCAAUAUUUGACCACCUGGAAGCUCCUGGUUAGCACUAGUGAGGCCGUCCUUCCGCCCCCCCCCUCAGGGCUAAAACAACCUUCCCUGCCUUUUGCUGAGUCCUCCCUGCCCACCCGCUAGCGGCCUGGGACACCGUCCUGUGUGGUGCAGCCCCGUGAGCAGCCCUCGACUUGUGAAAGAUAAUCGGCGCCCACCUUCGUCGCCAUGCCCUCCCUCGCACCCUGGCCAGGGCCCGUAGAACCCCCUGCCUACCCCAGGCCCUCAAGUGAAGCCUGUUGCCUGCAAGUCCGCUGGCUCAGACCCGAGAUCCCACCGGCGGCCGGCUUCUGUGGGUUUAGCAUCUUGUGGUGACAGCGUCUAGCCAGCCAGGUGCUAGACGGGUUGCAGCACACACAGCUGAGCUCAGGGAUCUCACACCAGUUCCGCGUCUCACCCACGCGCAUGGGCCCUCCGGCCCCUCCCCCAGCUCCAGCGCGCUCACCACAGACAGGAAACCUGACCACAAGGGCGCUCAAGCCCUGGCAGCCCUGUGGCUCGGAGAGUCUGCUUGCCAAGGCCAGUGACGACCUCCUCAUGACGUCCCACCGCACGUAAAGCCAAGGCCCACGUCCUUCCAGGCCCAGGAGGCCCCCAGGCUCGGGCCACUGCCCUCCUCCGACCGCGACUCCUCGCCUGGCUCACCCAGCUCUGAGCACGCACAACCUUGCUUUUCUGCAAACACACGCACACGCGCUCUGCCCAAAAGGUCUUCCCCAGAUGUCUCCACGGCUCCGGCUCCACUCCCAUCCCUGCUCAGGUGUCAGCUCCUCAGCCGCCUUCCCUGCCCAGCCUGUCUAACAGUGCAAACAGCCCGGCCGGUGCGGCUCAGUGGUUGAGCGUUGACCUAUGACCCAGGAGGUCACGGUUUGAUUCCC